UGCAAUUAAUGAUGAUUUUUUUUUUCAUAAUUGUUGAUUGAACAGUGAUUAAUACAAAAAUAUUACCAUCUUUCGACUGAGAUUGCA
rfam:Capsicum annuum cultivar Zunla-1 chromosome 6, whole genome shotgun sequence